rnacentral:sRNA from 2 species
AAAGCCACCCUACAGGGGGGAUGAGAACACCCGACCGGGGUUCGACAACUGGCGCAGCCAGUUGGACAGACGACGAGCUUGCGAGGAGACUGCCCGAAGGGCGAGCGCAGCGAGUCAAUCCCCCCUCACCGCCA